GGUUUCUUACCAAUAUACAGGUUAGCAUUCCGCUAGGGAUGUAUGACAAUCUUCCUGUAGCUGUUUCAUUGUUGGCAAAACAAGGUUCAGACGCUUUCCUGCUCAAUGUUGUCGAGAGUCUUUAUGCUACCCUCAAAGAACAGGUUGAGAUCACUGAAAAAUAACUUGCUGGCUGAGAAUCUAAGAAUGUAAGCUUGACCUAACCAUCCAAAUGUUAAAUUUGGAACAAAAAAUGGUGAUAUGAAAAAAAUAAUUCUCGCUACAGAGAAACAGAAACACCAUCUGGAUUUAGUAUAAAAACAUAAAAAUAUAGUUCUAUUAUGUUCUAUUCUAUUAUAUUUUUGUUACUUUUCUUUGUUCUGUUGUGAUGAAGAAAAACACAGUAGUGAGCUCCAACUCUCAAGCAGAUAGGUGAGAACGCCAUUUUGAGCAAAGUUGAUCAAAACUGGAUUAAUUUGGAAGUGCAGCAUUUUUCAACUCGCUAUUCUGUAUAUUAUGCAUUUUAACAGUGUUGAAUGGAAAUGAUGAUGAUCUGAGAGAAAAGAAAAUAAUUAAGCAUAUAACAAUAUUACACCAUAAUCAUCUAUAAAUUAAUUACUAGACAAUCAAGCCUUCCAUAUUUAAGAGUUGGUAAUUAUGCAUGCAGAUCCAGAUAUUUCAUAACCUGUACACACCAGAGUUGUUUGCACUUGAAACAUAUCGUCACACCAGCUUUCUUAGCAGGGCUGACUUCGUACUGUCCUAAGGUUGAUUGAUACUCUGAAGUUCUUCACGCCCUCACCGAUGCCUUCUUUCUCAGCUUUCGAAUCUUCAUCUUUUAGGAAAGCACAAAUGACUUCAGAGUUGUAGGUUUUUUUUAUGGAUGCCUUAACAUCCGUGUAUGUUGAUCCUAGGCAUUCCAAUUUCCAACGAACCACGUGUUUGCUUGUUUCGAACCUGCCGUCCAUAGCAGAACUUGGGGAGGGUAUCUGUAAAAUUUUCUGAUUGAAUCUUGGUGAGGGUACCGUUUCCUCCAUGGCUUCUUCUCUAGAAAACUAAUCUGUUCAAAUAUUCAUUUCUGGAGACCAUGGCAAGUUGUGAACACAAAAAAUGACAUGAAAGCUAAGAUCUGAACACAGAUUCUUCUACAGGGAGAGCAAAGAAAACUCUUAACCGUUUUUUUAGAAGUUUAAAGGAAAAACACUUCAUAAUUGGGGAUAGACAUAUAUGACAUGUGAAUCAAUGAAGCAUCAUAAUGCAGAUAAUUUUGAUACCUGAAUCUUCUUAGCAGCUGUACUAUUUAGCAGCUAUAAGAUUCUUUCUUGUCUGACUCUACCAUGUAUUGGUAAGCUUUUUUCCAUGAUUUACAGUGAAGAAAUAUGGUCUAACCUCAGGAUUAAACUUAUAGCAGCUCAAGAAAUAUUUAGACACAAAUUUAAUGCAGAUAUUCAAAUAGAUUUCCCCCAAGACUGGAGCGAUUCACUUUCAUAGUACAUAAAGCGAAAUCAGAUAGAACAAUUAGGUCCAUUUGGUUAUUGAAAGCAUGGUCAUUGUACCUUAUGUAACUGACAGAUGGAAUCUCCAACUUGUAUGAUCAAAUCAUUUGCAGCUUUCAUGCGAACCGUCCUGCAGACUAAAAAAUAUCAGUUAUGGUUGCAUAAGAAAAUUUUAGCAGACUGCAGUUUUAAUUUUAGAAUAACAUUUCCACUGUCAAGACUUAUUAUGUUUAGUUUAGAUAAUCUUCAAAUAAUCUACAAAAUCAACCAACAUAAUCUACAGAAUCAACCAACAUAAUCUACAGAAUCUUUAAAGUAAAAUUCGGCUUGAAUUAGGCUCUUGGUGGGUAGAUUAUCAGGUUGACCUGUUCUAUAAAUAUGUUUUAAGAGUACAUCCCAUCUGGAAGUCUUAAACUUGACUUGUUUGAAACAUAUCGACAUGUAAAUGGCUCAAGAUUAACAAUUUCUACAUAUUAGAAACAAAAAGGAAAGAAAUUUCUAUGUUCUACGAUUGUUUAUUGUUUCCCAGUUCUCGCAAUUAUGUAAACAUUUGCUUUAAACUCUCACCGAUUAUCAUUGACAGCAUCUACUGUUAUGCAUACUAGCAUUUAAUGCAUUAGGAGAUCGGCUCGGGCAUAAUUAAGGGAUUAGAAACCAUUGGAGCUUACAUUGCAAGUGAAAGUUUAAUUACAGGUGAAACAAAUUUGCGUUUAUGCAUUCCACAAACAUCUGGUUAGUUUAUUAUUUCAAGCUGGGAAUUGCAGGAGGAAAUGAAGUACAGAGACCCGAUAGACAUCUGAAGCUGGAAAGCUUAUAAAAGCCGUCCAAGACAAAAUAGUGACAAGUUUCAAUGCAGGCUUCGAUCAAGUAAAACCAUGCACGUCGCCGGUACGAAAUUAUGCACAGAACUGCUACGAUUACCGACACCACAAUUAUGUAAAAUAUUCCAAAGCAUACAUAUUUUUAUUUUUAUAUAAUCUAGUUUAAAGGUUAACCCAAACUUGAACCCGGGCCUAACCCAAGUCGAGUCUCGAGUCGGGUUUUAAAAAUAUAAUAAUUAUUAUUUUUAUCUCUGUAUUAACAGGGGUCAAUGGUUCUAGCUUGUAACAUGGGUCUGGCCUCAAGUCGACCCCAAAAUCAAGUUUUAAAACUAUAAUAAUAAUCCAACAAUUGAAUAAAAAUUAUGAACAUUUUGAGUCACCAUUAAACCACUCAUAUCUGGCAUGACCAAACUCUCUCUUGAAUCUAGAUUUGUCUCAUCAGUCUAUAAAUAUAUUUAUUAGGUCAUUUAUGUAAUCUAUUUGUGACAGAUUUUCAUCUAAUUAUGACACCUGAUUGCUGAAAAUUACUCGUUAUAGUAAAUCCGACUACAUCACCAAGAUCACUUGCUAGUCGUUUAAACAAGUGGUAUCGGUUCGAGCCCUAUAAAUGCAGUAAAUUUUCUUAGGAGAUGUCCUUGUCUUGACGCAUUACAAAAUCUCCAAGAAGAAGUCCUCGGAAAUAGCUCGGGGAUAAUUUGAAGAACCAAAAAAAAAAUAUUUGCAUUCCAUUCAAAGAAGAGCAAGGUGGUCACUUAUUAUUUGCACAGUUAAAGGGAGGAGAGGUAAAGGGAAGUAGCAAUUGCACCCUCCGUACCCAUUCGAUGAUGGUUGCCAUCCUACUCACGACGCUAAUUUUGACUCAAAUAGCACUCUUCUUCCAAGUUCUCAUUGUACUAAUUAUCAGAGAAUAAUAUAAAUUAGAUUUUGAGAUUUUAUCUAAAAGUUUAAAUUAUUAGAUUAAGAUAAUUUUUUAAUAUGGUAUCAAAACCUUAAUAACCAAACGGUCAAGAGUUCGAAUCUCAUAAUCCCCAUUUAUUUAAUUAAAAUUAUUCACAAGGUAAUGUGGGCUUGUGCAAGUUUCAAGCCCAAAGAGUUUUCAUUUGAGCUGGGGGUAUGUUAGAGAAUAAUAUAAAUCAUAUCUUAGAACCUCACUGUGAUGUUUUGUAUUAAAAAGAUUGGAAAAUACAAUAAAACCCUUGGUGGCUUAAAAAGGGUAUAAAUGAUUGAGGGUUAGUGUGGUAAUUGAACAAUAGUUGAUAAAUAUAAAUAAGAAGAAAAAAAAAACAAGAAUGAUCUGAUUUUGAGAGAAAGAGAGCUACGGGAGAGAGGGAAAGAGGAAGAAGAAGAAAAGAAAGGAGAGAAGGAAAUGAAGGAGAAGAGAAGUAGAGGAAAUAAGUAAAAAUGUAAGAUUUAUGGUUUGAAGUGUAUAAUAUGUUAAAUUUCGGUUUUGAUUAAUUGUAGAGUUUUGAAGUUUGUAUUUUGAGUUAAUUGAUGAAUUAAUUUGAAGGUUAGGAGUUGAUUAUUGUGGGUAUUUGAUUAAUUAGUUGAUUUUGAGAGAUUGAAUUGAAGGAUAAUGAUUUUGAGUUAUGAUUUUGUUUAAAUGGUGAAAUUGUGUUAGAAAUCAGGGGAUAACAGUAGGUGAUCUGUUGAAAUUCUGGGUUUGAGGUUGAAGAUGACGAAAAUUCAGUUUGGUCCCUCAAUUUACGGAAAUUGCAGUUUAGUCCCCAAACCUUUGAAAUUUUGCAGAUUGGUCCCUGGGGCAUAAAUUGAGGUUCUGAACAGAACUGAGGAUGAUUUAAGGCCAAAAUUCCAGUAUAAUUAAUAUUCUCAGUUUGGUCCUCCAAUUUGACAAAAAGUAUAAUUUGACCCUAAAAUUUUGGUAAAGUUCCAGAAUGGUCCUUGGAGCAUAAUGAUAUAUCCUGGACAGAAUUGAGGAUUAAUUAUGGAUAAAUUUUAGUAUGGUUAUAUAUUUACAGUUCAGUCCUCAAAAUUUAGUAAAAUUACGUUUUGGUCCCUAUAUUGUCGUUUUAGUCCCUAAACUUAGGAGAUUAAACCCGGUUUAUUUUAUGCUUUGGGAUCUUUUGUUUGAUCUGUUUUUUAGUAUAUUUCAUAUAUUUAUUGUAGGUUCUCUUAACGAUCCUUAAUCGGAUUUUUGGGUCUUUCGUCUGACAUUCCUUUAGCUAAGUAUUUUCCGGGUGAGUGAAAUAAUCUUUAAUAUGCAUAUAAUAUAAAUAAAUGUGUAUGUUGAUUAUACAAUGAGUACGACUAGUAAGUUUCUUGAAUAUUUAUAUAUGUUGCUUUAUUUUUCGAGUACUCAUUUAUUCUUGAAUUUGCAUUCGCAAUCUGUCAAAAUAAAUUCUAUUUGAUAUGAUAUACGUUUAUGCCUUGAUAUGGGACUUGUCAGUAACUUCAUGCUAACGGAGAGUAGUUAGCCUGUGUGCACAUAGUAUUCUGUAUACCUAGCUGGUGAGAGAUGCAGCAGCCUGUGGCGAUUGAUCAUCCCACAGUGGUCACCGACGGGUGUCAUCUGGUCACCUUCGGGUGUCAUCUGAUCUCUGACAUGUAAUCCACUACGUUAUGAUAAUAUGUUACGUUAUGAUAAUAUGUUUAGUAAGUAUAUGUAUAUGUAUAUGUAUAUUAAGAUAAAUCAUCUUACAAAUUAUUAAUAUCUGAAUGUAUAUUAAAUGUUAUUCACUCACUGAGUUGGUUGAACUCACCCUCAUUUUUUAAUAUUAUUUCAGGUUCUUAGUUUCUGAUAGCAGUUGAACUUUGUUGAGUGUUUCCGCUUCUUCAGUUCUGGUCGGUAUGCCUUGCUUGUUCGCGAGGCUUUCCUUUCAGUUUUGAUUUGAUGUCUUAGACGCUCCACUGUUACCUUGAUUUAAUUAAAUUUGGAUUUUGACAAUGUAAUGAGUAUUAUGAAUUAUUAUUUUUGUUUUAAUAACUAUCUUUCGGUUUCAUCAGUAUUUGAAUAAUAUAAUAUUUCUGAAUAUUAUGAGCCGCUGCGUAUUUUUGAACAAAUUGUUCUUUUGAUAUGUCCGUUCUGAGGCUUAGCGUAGGUGAGGUGUCCUUUCGACACCGCCCCUACGUUGCCGGUCACGGAUCCGGGAUUCGGGUCGUGACACUCACCUAACAACUUAAGCUAUUGAAUUGAGAUGGUUUUUUGACACUAACUAACCUUUCAUGCUAAAUAUAAAAUUAAACAAUUUUCACCACUAAAGUCAAGUUAUUUUCCUCUUUUUCUUUAUGGACUUGGAUGCAUGCUUUUACUAAUGCAUUUUCCUGUUUUUUUUUUUCUCUCUUUUUGCUUCAAAGACUUGGAAAGUUAAUUUUCUAAUAACCAAGACAAAUUAAUUUGAAGAUACUAAUUAAAAAAAAUAAAAAAUUGAAGGCCAUCAAGAAAACAUUGGAUAUCAACACAUAUCACUAUUCAUCAAAAUAGAAUAAUUACUUUUUUUCAUUCAAACAAAAAACAAUUAACUUGUUCUUGGGGUAAUUUGAUCGUUUUUGACAAAACUCAUAAGUCAUUAUAAUAUUGAUUUGAGACAAUUUAGUAUUUUAACAUUUAACAAGCAUAGUGUAAAGAUCUUUAUACCCUUGAGAACAUACGAAAUAAAACUUACAACAAGGGGCAAUUGUGUAUUUUUAUUCUGGUAUUUUUUUAAUUAACAGUUGAACCAUGGAUGAUUUGGCAUUUUCAUUAAGUAAGAUAUUAAUUUAAAAAAGUUGACACCAAGUGAGCAACUAUUGCACCCUUUAAACAAUGUGUGCAACGUCGUCUCUUGUCCAGAUGCUGCUUUUGCAGGAUGCGUGUUUUUUCCAUCAGUGCCCCAUGUGUUGAUAGUGGUGGAGUGGUUGAGCUCCGCUGUUUUUUUUUUUUUUUUUUAACUCAUUUUUUUUUCUUUUUCAUCCUUACAAAAAUUUAAAAAGUGUUAUUUAUUUAUUGUAUUUAUUUUGAUCUUAUUUUUUUGAAUAUUGUUUUCAAUUUCAUUCCAACACAUUUGAUUUCAAAAUAGUUUUAUAUUAAAUUUAGAUUUUAUUUUAUUUAUUGUUAUUUCAUUUGUUUUGGAGCUCUUUUAUUGUAUUUUUUUUUUCAAUUUCAUUCUCUAAUAUUUUAUUGAUUUAUAAUUUCACUUUAUUAUUUUUUAGGAUUUUUCUUCUUUGGUCUCACACUCAUGACUAGGAUUACGGAUUUGAAGAUUAACACCGGUUGACUUUGAUCUUUUUUUCAUAUCCCUUUUAAAUUAUUAUUUUUUUCAAAUUCAUUCUUUAACAUUUAAUUUAUUGGGAAUUAGUCUUUAAUUUUUUUCUAUGAAGUUAUCACAAUCUUGUGAACCAAGUAACCGGGUUAAUGAGUUAACCGGGGUUAACAAUUUUUUUUUGUUGCUUAAAAAAACAUUAUUUUUACCCUAAAAUAUUGAGUUGUUUUAUAAUUGAGUUUCAUGGUUUUAUUUAGUUUAUUUUUAAUGGGGCUAUUUUAAUAUUACAACUAAGUGGCAUAUUUAACUUUCUAAUCUAGAUGAAUUUUUUAUUAAAAUAUUAUUAUUUUUAUUUAAAAAAUAAAAUUGGAAUAGAUAUUCUCUUUUGAGAUUUGUGCCUUGUACAUUCAUGUAUUUUAUAGCCUAACCCUCUUAACAACAUUUUUCUGCUUUUUUCAUGGUUAAUUUUUAGCCUGUUUUACAGUGUGUUUGUAAUUACUGUAGAGAUUUUUUUAAAAAUUUGUUUUAUUUAAAAAUAUAUUAGAAUAAUAUAUAUAUCAAAAUUUCUCUAAACAGCCUUGCAAGUUACAAGUUACAAGUUACAACUAUGUUUUUUUAACCUCGUAAAUGCUGACCUGUCAACAGCAUUCUUCUGCUUUAAACAACGAUUGGGAUAGAGUCCCGUUACAGUCACACACACACACACUAGCUAGAGCAGGACCAGACAUGGCAAGAGACCCGGAUUAUGGAGCUUUCAUGGACAAAUUUGUGCUUGAACCUACCUCUUCAGCUUAUGAUCAACCAUUGCAUGGCCUCACUUUUGCAGUUAAAGAUAUGUAAGUCCCUUCAAUUCACCUUUUUCUUUGCCUUCAUUUCCUAGACAAAGAUACUUUAAGUCUCUUACGUUUAUGAAAACUUCUUAGAAAAGAGUAAAGGAAAGGGGUGUCUUUUUUAUUAUUUUCAAGCUUCCUAGGCCAAGUUUCCAAUUCUUGGUUUUGGGUUUAUGUAUUUUGCAAGUGGGGGUGUUUGGGUGUUUGCAAACUUUUAUAUGGAUUGGUUCUUUUUUCUUGUAGUGAUUGAUGAAUUUGGUUUUUGUAAUUAUGGAAAUAGAUUUGAUGUGGAGGGAUAUGUGACUGGAUUUGGUAAUCCUGACUGGGCAAGGACUCAUUCUGCUGCUACCUCAACUGCUCCAGCUGUUUUGGCCGUCUUAAGAGGAGGAGCCACCUGUGUUGGUAAAACUGUCAUGGAUGAAAUGGCUUACAGGUGAGAAUGUGAAAGCCUUUUCCUUUUCCAAUUUUCUUAGACAAGAGCUCAUGCCAUCAUAAGAUAUGAUUAAACAGGAUUCAUUUGGUGAAUAUUGGAUUAUACCCCAAUAAAAUUACACAAGAUCAACAUGUAAAAAACUAGUUAUGGAGUUAAGUUCUAUAGAGAUUUCACGAUUUUUCGUAAGUCCUUGUUGGAAAAUAAUUUUGAAACUUGUGUUAGAACAUGAACUCAAUUUUUUACUGCAUUAGUGUUUUGAAGAUAAAUGACGGGGGUUUCAUACCUUUAAGUAAUUGAAGCGAAGUUGUGGGUUUAUUAAAAGUUGCAACGACUAUGAACAUAUACAGGGGAGAUCUUGUAAGGUUCUCAAUGUGAGUAAGAAGUGAAAAACACUCUGUAAACAUUCCUCUUCCAAUUAAUGCACUUUUGUGAUUAGUUUUUGUGUGUGUUUAUUCCAACUAAGUAGUAUUAGAGCAGAGAAUCUUGGAUGAAAUAAUAGGAAACUGAAUCAGAUUGCGACAUACAAAGGACUUCAAGCUCUCCAUCUAAGAGUUUGAAGGUGAAAUUUCUUCACUUUGUCAACACCUGUACAGGUGUUUUGAAGAAUGUCCCGAGCCUGCUUAGAAUUGGUUACAUUGGCAACCUUCUCAAACAUAGUAUCAUCCAAACCCUGGUGGAUGAAUGUAGGUCCCUGCUGGCCUUUCUUUCUUGAUCUCUGCUAGGUAUCCACAUCUUCUGGCUUUACAUAGCAUCUCUCCAUAAUUCCCAGCAUCUUGGAAUCCUGAUAGUGCUUUCAGACAUAGUCUAACAAAUUGAAAUGGAACUAAAACACUUGCCGUUUCAGAUUUACCAGGAACUACAAAGCUUUGAUACCACGUUGUUGGAAAUGAACGCACACUCGCUACUCACAAAACUGUAUUAAUUGGAAGAGGAACUUUUACAGAGCAUUUUUUUAGAGAGUGAAUACAAUAAUUGCAUUAAGCAUUUUUAAUCUUUAAAAUUCCAACACAAGGUAUGCCCUCAAGUUUUCAAUCAUAGAGUGAUGCAAUCUCAGGCCCAGUGAUUCUUGGAUUACAAUUUUAGUCUUAUUAUGCCAGUGGCCUCUAAAUUGCAUCUAUGUACACUGGUUGUUGUAAGAAAAAAUCAACUGUUUUAUAUGGACUACAACAUUCAUGUUGAACUUCACUGGUCUUUUGCUGAAAAUUUUACUAGCAGGCAAAAUUAGCUCUUUUGAUAUCUGUUAUUGUUACUCUUACUAUUUCUAAAACCUGAACUUUAUAGACAUAGUUGAAUUAUUCUUUUAGAUGUCAGUGUUCAUGUGAUAUCCCAGUUAUCACAGAUUAUCAGUUAGAUAAUUUGGCUAUCUAACUGGUGUAUUCUACCAUGCUAGUGCAGCAGUUAUUGACCAGUUAGUUCCUAGGUUAGUGAUAUUGGUGGCCUUGUGGUAACCACCAACAGAUGGCAUUGACAUGCCAGUCACGUUCAAUUUCAUAGUAAUUAAAACCAUCUGAAAAUGAAUCCUUGUAAUAGUUUUUGCUGCAUUUGAGCAUGCUCUUUCUUUGAAAUGAAUUUAUUUGCUCUGCUGGGUGAAAAUGCUUAGUAUAAUCAUUUAUAGAACUUACCAUCUUAUUGAAACCUGUGAUUCAUCUUAAUAGCACAUGUAAAUUUAAUUAUAAACAAAAGAGUUGAGAAUUCUAGUAGCCUCAUCUUUCGAGAGUCUUGCAGCACCUUUUAGAAGGUCAAACGUACUAUGAAACCUCACAUAACAUUCGUUACUUAUAAACCACUUUUUUUACUGAGGUUUAGUUGUUGUUGUUGUAUGAACUCCUUUUUAUGAGGCAGUAUAAAUGGAGAAAAUAUACAUUACGGCACACCUAUAAAUCCAUGUGCUCCGGAUGGUGUACCCGGAGGAUCUUCAAGUGGGUCUGCCGUUGCGGUUGGUGCAAAAAUUGUAGACUUCUCCUUAGGUAAAUACUCCAAUCUGAAUGAUUCUUGAUGUAUUUUGGUUUGUCGUAGGUAAAGUGAAGUAAAAUGUUCUCUCUACAACAGGAACAGACACUGGAGGAAGUGUAAGAGUCCCUGCAUCAUAUUGUGGAAUUUUGGGGUUUCGACCUUCUCACGAUGCGGUUCCGAGUGCAGGAGUUAUUCCCAUGGCACAGAGUUUUGAUACUGUGGGUAAGAAACUGGGUAGUGAAGGAUUCAUUUUGAAUUUGAUUGCAAACAAGUGAACCAAUAAACCAACCAGCAAGUAUACCUGUACGGUUUUCUCUGACAAAUGUGUUGCAAACUUUUUUGAGCUUCCAAUAUUCAUGACAACAUUCUAGACUUUUGAAUAAUGGGUUGCAUAAGACAACUAUGCAUUUUAAAUAAUAUGUUCCAUCUGAACGUUUUAAAUUUUUCUUGAUUAAUAAAAGUCUCAUCCCCAGCGAACUACUUCUUUCUAGUUUGUUUGAAGUUGCCCAUACAGUUCUUUUGUCCGCAUUUGUUUGUAAUAAACUCUUAUGAAACAUAAUCUCUUAGUUGUUUUAACAUUUUUAGAGCUUCAUAAUUUUCGUCAUCCUCUAUUCACUGUUUUGAUACUAAUUUUUCGACCAGGAUGGUUUGCCAGGGACCCUGUGAUUCUGAGUCGGGUAGGACAUAUUCUACUCCAAUCACCUGUUAUGGAUCCUUUCAAACCUAGUCAAGUUAUUAUUGCAGAAGAUUGUUUCCAGCUUUCAAACAUUCCAAAUGAUCGACUAGGUCAAGUUCUUGUGAAAUCAGUGGAGAAGAUAUAUGGAGGUCAGUUAAUCUGUAAUUAUGAUACCAUUACUACUGUUCAAGCCCGAAACCAGAAGUUUUGAAAGAACUGUUCUAAGUUCAAAAGCAUUUGAAGACUCAUUUUUAAGUUUUGAUUCAAAACAUGACUAAUAGAAUAUCACGUAAUAAAGAUUGGUUCUGAUUCAUUGCUUUUGGUGCCCAAGAGCAUUAUAGUAUUUGCAUCCGUUUGUUAUCAUUUGCUGAGAUAUCAUUUAUUAUUUUUGUUUACACAGGCCAUAUUGUGAAGCAUACAGUCCUCGGGGACUAUGUCAAGGAAAACGUUCCAAGUCUGAAACAUUUUAUGAGUAAAGAACUUAAAGAACAAGAGUAUAACAUUCCAUCUUUGGCAGCCCUCUCAAAUGCCAUGAGGUCACUUCAAAGGUGCAAAAAGUUCAACAGAGUUUUCUUGGAAUGGAUUUGGUCAAUCAACCUGAAUGAUACACUCUUUGGGGGAAGUGCCAUACGAAGUUGUUCCUAAUCAAUUCCGGACUCCUGAAUUUCAUUAUUAUUUGAUGUAUAGGUAUGAAUUCAAGGAUAACCAUGGUGAAUGGAUCACUUCAGUCAAACCUGAAUUAGGUCCAGGAAUAUCAGAAAGGGUAUGGGAAGCUGUUAGAACAACUGGGGAAAACGUUGAUGCCUGUCACUCUGUAAAGACGGAGUUACACGCUGCCCUUGCAACUCUUCUUCAGGUACCUCUCUCUCAAGUGACUACAAAACUUGGAUUUGUUUAGCCAAGGAAGAAAUAUUAUACUUACUCUAUUGUAGUCAACAUUUUAUUAGGCUACAAAUUAUGCUUCUGUUCACUUAUGAGUUCCUUCUACUCGCAGGAUUUUGGUAUCCUAGCUAUCCCUACUGUUCCAGGGCCUCCACCGAAACUGCAAGCAGAUCCAACAACACUGGAAAUCUUCCGUGCUAAGGCUUUUAGCUUGCUGUCCAUUGCUGGAGUAUCAGGAUUCUGCCAGGUCCUAUAUAUAGUAAUGAAAUUUUACCUGUUAUUGUUCUCUUUAGAACUUCUGGAUUAUUUCCUUAUGUGGGUUUCAUACCAAUAUACAGGUUAGCAUACCUCUAGGGAUGCAUGACAAUCUACCUGUAGCUGUUUCAUUGUUGGCAAAACAAGGUUCAGACGCUUUCCUGCUCAAUGUUGUCGAGAGUCUUUAUGGUACCCUCAAAGAACAGGUUGAGAUCACUGAAAAAUAACUUGCUGACUGAGAAUCUAAGAAUGUAAGCUUAAC
rnacentral:lncRNA from 1 species